rnacentral:rRNA from 1 species
UGGUGGAGUGAUUUGUCUGGUUAAUUCCGUUAACGAACGAGACCUCGACCUGCUAAAUAGAUCGGCAAACUCUUCGGGGUUUGUACGUGUCUUCUUAGAGGGACUAUCGGUGUGUAGCCGAUGGAAGUUCGAGGCAAUAACA